GCUGGGCACAGUGGCGCAUGCCUGUAAUCCCAGCAGCUCAGGGGGCUGAGACAGGAGGAUCGCAAGUUCAAAGCCAGCCUCAGCAAUUCAGUGAGGUGCUAAGAGACCCUGUCUCUA
rnacentral:sRNA from 1 species